GUUAGCAUCAGGGAGUUGAAAAUAGGAAAAGUUUUCCUCUGUUUUGCACUGUUUUGGAAUAGUGGAUUGUUCCUUCAAAGUGCAAUCUUGAUGCGAGAGGGAAUUGAAGAGCAUCGAUGGUGACGGGUUGUUGGCGGUGUUUGUGUCUAUGUUCUUGUUUGUUUCUCUGGUAUUGAUUGUGAUGGGAGCUGGUGAAAUCGGUUGGAAUAACCCGUUUGCUGAGACUACAUUGUGACAUUGGGAGACUAGGGGACUUAGAAGUAAACUUUUGAGAUCACUUUCUCGGUGGUGAAUCAGAAAAUGAUUUUGGAGGGCCCCCGUUGAAGCCUGAGCUUGACAUCCUAAUAUUGUCGAUGGCGCUUCAAGCAAUGGAGGCAAGGAACUAGAGAUGGGUGGGGAAGCAGCUUCCAAGAGGAAGCCUUGCCCUUGCACAAGGCCAUUUUUCUUCUCCCCAUUUUUGUGAAAUAUCCUGCAAAUCACCCAUUCCUCCUUGCACGUGUGGCGGUGGGAGAAAUCACCGUCCAAGCGGUACUCGUGCAUGACCCACUUGGUCUUCUCGCCUCUGGGAGCUCUGCCCUUGUAGAAAACGAGGGUCUUUUUCAUGCCAAGUAAAGCACCGCUCGAGGCACUGUACACUUCCCUAUCUUUGCCUGUGGCCUUCCAGUACCCAGCUCCGGUUGCUCUAUUUGUUCUCAGCCCUGUUGGGUACUUCCUGUCCCUCAGGCUGAAGAAGUACCACUCCCUCUCCCCCAUUUUUGCCACAUCUGGAAGCUCCCAGGGCUCACAUCUGUUAAGGUCAACUUCAGCGAUU
rnacentral:misc_RNA from 1 species